CCGAGAAUACCCUACGCCCACCUUAUCUGUACAAUAGGAGUGGCUUUGCGUUGUGGCUUUGGCGGAACACCUUGAGGCCAGGGUAAGGGCGGUGCGUGCCAACGUGCCAAAUUGCACCGGCUACCGCAAAGCCGAGUCUGGAUGACUUAGCACCUUGACGCGUGGCACCAGUCUGCCUCGGGAGGGAGCAGGUCGCGGAGAGGGAGGAGGCCUGCAGUACGGAGAGGAGCCCAAGGCGCUGGGACAGAGACCUGCGGGAGAAGGGGUUGUGCUCGGCUCCGUGAAGUUUCUGUUCCUCACGGAACAGGGCAGGUCAAUCUUGAAGAGAGAAGGAAGUGGCCCUGAUCAACUCAAGAAAUCACUAGAAAACUAGAUGUGUAUUCAGAGUGUGCAAAAGGAAGAAAAGAACGCACAAAAAGAUCAAAUUAAUGACCCAUUUCUGUUUGGUUCAAAGCUAUCUUUGAAUUCUGUAUCACCCAAAGAAAUUUUUAUUUUGGAUAAAUCUUUGGCUUUUAGGGUCAGUUUUAGUCCCUUGAGAACUCUUAUUGCAUAAAAUGAGAAAUCCAUCUCUUAGUCCUGGCUAGUGUGGCUCAGUGGAUUGAGUGCUGGCCUGUGAACCACAGGAUUGGUGGUUCAAUUCCUAGUCAGGGCACAUGCCUGGGUUACAGGACAGGUCCCCAGUAGGAGGGGCAUGAGAA